rnacentral:rRNA from 1 species
AUGGCGUGCAAGCGGGCCACCUCGCGGGUUCUCCGGGCGAUGUAUGACGACGAGCCCUCCUCCAUGUCCCUCGAGCUCUUCGGCUACCACGGCGUGGUCGUCGACGGCGACGAUGAGGACGACGACACCGCCACCGCCCUCCCCCAGCUCUCCUUCGUCGAUAACUUCAAAGGCGGGUGCGGGUCGGCAGCGGCGGACUACUACAGCUGGGCGUACAACGCCUCCGGUGGGACGCCGGGCGCCUCCUCCAGCUCCACCUCUUCGGUGCUCAGCUUUGAGCAUGCCGGCGGUGCCGGUCAUCAGCUGGCUUAUAACGCCGGCACAGGCGACGAUGACUGCGCGCUCUGGAUGGACGGCAUGGCCGACCAUCAGCAUGGCGCUGCCAAGUUUGGGUUCAUGAACCCAGGGUCGGCCGAUGUCGUCCCGGAAAUCCAGGAGAGCAGCAUCAAGCAGCCGGCCAAGUCUGCGCAGAAGCGCGCGAGCUCGGGCGGUGAGGCGCAAGCGGCGGCGAAGAAGCAGUGUGGAGGAGGCAGGAAGAGCAAGGCCAAAGUUGUGCCUACCAAGGACCCUCAGAGCGCCGUUGCAAAGGUCCGAAGAGAGCGCAUCAGCGAGAGGCUCAAAGUUCUGCAGGAUCUGGUGCCCAACGGCACGAAGGUGGACAUGGUCACCAUGCUCGAGAAGGCAAUCACCUAUGUCAAGUUCCUGCAGCUGCAAGUCAAGGUGUUGGCGACCGACGAGUUCUGGCCGGUGCAAGGAGGGAAGGCCCCGGAGCUCUCCCAAGUGAAGACCGCCCUGGACGCCAUCCUGUCCUCUCAGCAGCAACCCUAG